GACAGAGGGUGCAAGCGUUAUCCGGAGUUACUGGGCGUAAAGCGCGAGCAGGCGGCUCGACAAGUUCGAUGUGAAAGCGCCCGGCUCAACCGGGCGAGGCCAUUGGAAACUAUCGAGCUGGAGGGCAGUAGAGGCAGGCGGAAUUCCGGGUGGAGUGGUGAAAUGCGUAGAGAUCCGGAGGAACACCAGAGGCGAAGGCGGCCUGCUGGGCUGCACCUGACGCUGAGCCGCGAAGGCUGGGGGAGCAAACGGG
rnacentral:rRNA from 1 species